rnacentral:rRNA from 1 species
GACGAACGCUGGCGGCGUGCUUAACACAUGCAAGUCGAACGGUAAGGCCCUUCGGGGUACACGAGUGGCGAACGGGUGAGUAACACGUGGGUGAUCUGCCCUGCACUUCGGGAUAAGCCUGGGCAACUGGGUCUAAUACCGGAUAGGACUCCUGGCUUCAUGGUUGGGGGUGGAAAGCUUUUGCGGUGUGGGAUGGGCCCGCGGCCUAGCAGCUUGUUGGUGGGGUAAUGGCCUACCAAGGCGACGACGGGUAGCCGGCCUGAGAGGGUGACCGGUCACACUGGGACUGAGAUACGGCCCAGACUCCUACGGGAGGCAGCAGUGGGGAAUAUUGCACAAUGGGCGCAAGCCUGAUGCAGCGACGCCGCGUGAGGGAUGACGGCCUUCGGGUUGUAAACCUCUUUCAGCUAUGACGAAGCGCAAGUGACGGUAGUAGCAGAAGAAGGACCGGCCAACUACGUGCCAGCAGCCGCCGUAA